rnacentral:rRNA from 1 species
CACGCCCUAAACGAUGCAUAUUUGGUGUAGGUCAUUCAGUUGAUCUGUGCCGGAGCUAACGCGUUAAAUAUGCCGCCUGGGGAGUNACGCGAAGAACCUUACCUGGGCUCGAACGGCUUCUUAACGAGGGUGGAAACAUCCUUAUCCCGCAAGGGAGUGGAGUCGAGGUGC